AGUCAUAUGCUUGUUUCAAAGAUUAACCCAUGCAUGUGUCAGAAUGUGCCUGUAUAGGCGAAUCUGCAGACGGCUCAUUACAACAGUAAUCACAUAUAUGAUGUUUUGAAACGGAUAUCCGUGGGAAACCAAGGUUAAUACGGGAUAAAACCGGGGCUCUUUGGUCUCGCGGUAUUUCCUGCUGUAUAAAUCGAACGCGCUUGCGUGUGCGAGGAGUCGCAGGAACUUUUCGAGCCGAUUGUAUCGGUGCGUCAUGUUGGUUUCUGACCUAUCAGCUUCCGACGGUAGGGUAUUGGCCUACCGUGGCUAUGACGGGUAACGGGGAAUUGGGGUUUGAUUCCGGAGAGGGCGCCUGAGAAAUGGCGACCAAGUCUAAGGAUUGCAGCAGGGGCGAAAAAUGCCGCUUUAUGACACAUAGAGGCUGUGACAAAACAUAGCAACUCAAAGCUUUUGCUUUGCUGAUUGCAAUGGGAUUCGGCCAAAUCUCGAAUCGAGUAGCAAUU
rnacentral:rRNA from 1 species